AAGCGUGGGGAGCAAACAGGAUUAGAUACCGUGGUAGUCCACGCCGUAAACGAUGUCGAUUUGGAGGUUGUGCCCUUGAGGCGUGGCUUCCGGAGCUAACGCGUUAAAUCGACCGCCUGGGGAGUACGGCCGCAAGGUUAAAACUCAAAUGAAUUGACGGGGGCCCGCACAAGCGGUGGAGCAUGUGGUUUAAUUCGAUGCAACGCGAAGAACCUUACCUGGUCUUGACAUCCACAGAACUUAGCAGAGAUGCUUUGGUGCCUUCGGGAACUGUGAGACAGGUGCUGCAUGGCUGUCGUCAGCUCGUGUUGUGAAAUGUUGGGUUAAGUCCCGCAACGAGCGCAACCCUUAUCCUUUGUUGCCAGCGGUUAGGCCGGGAACUCAAAGGAGACUGCCAGUGAUAAACUGGAGGAAGGUGGGGAUGACGUCAAGUCAUCAUGGCCCUUACGACCAGGGCUACACACGUGCUACAAUGGCGCAUACAAAGAGAAGCGACCUCGCGAGAGCAAGCGGACCUCAUAAAGUGCGUCGUAGUCCGGAUUGGAGUCUGCAACUCGACUCCAUGAAGUCGGAAUCGCUAGUAAUCGUAGAUCAGAAUGCUACGGUGAAUACGUUCCCGGGCCUUGUACACACCGCCCGUCACACCAUGGGAGUGGGUUGCAAAAGAAGUAGGUAGCUUAACCUUCGGGAGGGCGCUUACCACUUU
rnacentral:rRNA from 1 species